rnacentral:rRNA from 1 species
UACAGAGGGGGCAAGCGUUGUUCGGAAUUACUGGGCGUAAAGCGCGCGUAGGCGGCUUUGCAAGCCGGAUGUGAAAUCCCCGGGCUUAACCUGGGAACUGCAUUCGGGACUGCAUUGCUAGAGUAUGGGAGAGGGAAGUGGAAUUUCAGGUGUAGCGGUGAAAUGCGUAGAUAUCUGAAGGAACAUCAGUGGCGAAAGCGACUUCCUGGACCAAUACUGACGCUCAUGUGCGAAAGCGUGGGGAGCAAACAGG